GGAGGGAUAGCUCAGUAGGCAGAGCACACGACGGUAACCAAUCCGGCUGUUUCGUCCCCGGUUCGAGUCCGGGUCCCUCCACAA
rnacentral:tRNA from 1 species